rnacentral:rRNA from 1 species
CAAUAGCGUAUAUUAAAGUUGUUGCAGUUAAAAAGCUCGUAGUUGGAUUUGUGCAGGCUCAUGAUGUCCGUUUUUGGUACGUUUGUGGGCCUGCAUGCUUGGGUGGAACCUGUGUGGCAUUAGGUUGUCGUGCAGGGGAUGCUCAUCGUUUACUGUGAAAAAAUUAGAGUGUUCAAAGCAGGCUUAUGCCAUUGAAUAUAUUAGCAUGGAAUAAUAAGAUAGGACCUUGGUACUAUUUUGUUGGUUUGCGCACCGAGGUAAUGAUUAACAGGGACAGUUGGGGGUAUUCGUAUUCCAUUGUCAGAGGUGAAAUUCUUGGAUUUUUGGAAGACGAACUACUGCGAAAGCAUUUACCAAGGAUGUUUNCAUUA